GAUGAACGCUGGCGGUAUGCUUAACACAUGCAAGUCGAACGGACUCUUCGGAGUUAUUGGCGGACGGGGGAGUAACGCGUGGGAAUCUGGCCUUGUGUUCGGGACACCUACUGGACACGGUGGCUAAUACCGGAUGUGCCCAGAUGCAAAAGAGAACGUGCCUGAAGAUGAGCUCGCGUCUAAUUAGGUAGUUGGUGAGGUAAAUGCUCACCAAGGCAGCGAUCAGUAGCUGGUCUGAGAGGAUGACCAGCCACACUGGGUCUGAGACACGGCCCAGACUCCUACGGGGGGAAGGAGUGGGGAAUGUCCCGGAAUGGGCGAGAGAGUGACGGAGGAAUACCGCGUGAGGGAAGAAGGCUCUUGGGUUGUAAAACUGUUUUCUUAGGGAAGAACAAAAUGACGGUACCUAAGGAAUCAGCAUCGGCUAACUACGUG
rnacentral:rRNA from 1 species